CUGGCUCAGGAUGAACGCUAGCGGCAGGCUUAACACAUGCAAGUCGAGGGGCAACGCGAGUAGCAAUACUUGCCGGCGACCGGCGCAAGGGUGCGUAACGCGUGAGCAACAUGCCCGUAUCAGGGGGAUAAUCCAUGGAAACGUGGUCUAAUACCCCAUAGUAAUUAUGUAAGGCAUCUUAUAUAAUUUAAAGCUUUGGUGGAUACGGAUUGGCUCGCGUGACAUUAGCUGGAUGGUAAGGUAACGGCUUACCAUGGCUACGAUGUCUAGGGGUUCUGAGAGGAAGGUCCCCCCACACUGGAACUGAGACACGGUCCAGACUCCUACGGGAGGCAGCAGUGAGGAAUAUUGGACAAUGGAUGGAAAUCUGAUCCAGCCAUGCCGCGUGCAAGGAAGACGGCCCUAUGGGUUGUAAACUGCUUUUGUAUGGGAGCAAUAAGGGCUACGUGUAGUCCGAUGAGAGUACCAUACGAAUAAGCACCGGCUAACUCCGUGCCAGCCGCCGC
rnacentral:rRNA from 1 species